rnacentral:rRNA from 1 species
GACAGAGGUGCCAAGCGUUAGGCGGAAUCACUGGGCUUAAAGCGUGUGUAGGCGGAAUCGUAAGUACCUCGUGAAAUCCCUCGGCUCAACCGGGGAACUGCGUCCGAUACUGACGAGGCUUGAAUCCGGGAGAGGGAUGCAGAAUUCCAGGUGUAGCGGUGAAAUGCGUAGAUAAUCUGGAGGAAUACCGGUGGCGAAGGCG